UUGUGUUUACUGGAUCUCAUUUAGUUUUGGUCGUGACCAAAGCGACGACUGCAAUCCCCAUGUUGCAAACGAAGCAGAGUGGUUCAGUGAUUAACCCCUGCACGCGGCUGUGGUAUGGACCGAGAUUAGAAGAUUUUUGUCUGAUCCCCAAGUCUAGGACACUUUCGGAGCCAAGCUCACCAGUGCCAUGUGGUCUACUUGUCAAGUACUAAGUCAAUGACCCUGAUGUAGAGACAUUAAUAAAUGAAGGAAAUCAGUAUCACUCCUUAGCCCCAAAUUUUAAGAUAUUUUAAAUAGGAUUAGGAGAGAAGGACAGGAGUCAGUUUAGUGUCCAAAUUUGCCUGGUGAUGAAAUUUUAUAGAAACAUUUUUUUCCUCCUUCGGAAACCUCCAUGAAUAAUAUGACAUAGUCACACCUUUUGAAACUCAACUAUUGAAAAUAACAUCAGUAAUCACCACUAGUCAUUGACAAUAAAGAAUCUCGGAAUUUUUGGAGGAUUUGGAUAAGUGGCAGCUGGACCCCUACAGAAGGGACCAUCUUUAUUCUCCAAUUCCUUUUUUGGAACUGGGGUGCAGGCCAGAGGUGCACGAGGUGAGAGGAUUCGCCAGAGACAGUGGGGAGCAGAAGAGGCAGAUCUACUAAAAUAACUGCUGAGGGGAGCAGUGGGCCAGAGGAGAGGUCUGCUGCACCAGGAUCAAACCCAUGGCAUAAAUGCUGAAGCUUUAAGUUGUGUUCAACAAAUUGUUCCUGACCUGCACCACCUGGGAGCACUUUCUGAGCAUGAACCCCAGCAGGUCAUCCUAGAUGAUCACCACUGUGAAACCUUUAGAGCCAAUGUUCUGGAUGCCAGCAAAACUCACACCACACUUGGAAACACCGACUGACUGCUCACAAACCAGCACCACUCCCUUGUGUCAGGCAUAAAAUCUAA